CGUGCUCAACACCGAGCAUUCGGCGCAGCAGGGAAAGACAUGGUAGCGGAUAACGCAUUAUGUUAACCGGCUGAAGAACCAAUGCUGGGUGUUGAGCAUGAUGAGAGUAGCGGACGGGCGAGUAACGCGUGAGUAACCUGCCCUUUGCAGGGGGAUAACAUCGGGAAACCGGUGCUAAUACCGCAUAAGACCACAGUGCCACAUGGCACAGCGGUCAAAGCUCCGGCGGCAAAGGAUGGACUCGCGUCCAAUUAGCUAGUUGGUAGGGUAACGGCCUACCAAGGCGACGAUUGGUAUCCGAACUGAGAGGUUGAUCGGACGCAUUGGGACUGAGACACGGCCCAGACUCCUACGGGAGGCAGCAGUGGGGAAUAUUGCGCAAUGGAGGAAACUCUGAACUAGCGACGCCGCGUGAGGGAAGAAGGUCUUCGGAUUGUAAACCUCUGUCUUCGGGGACGAUAAUGACGGUACCCGAGGAGGAAGCUCCGGCUAACUACGUG
rnacentral:rRNA from 1 species